rnacentral:lncRNA from 1 species
AAUAACCAUCCCAUUAUAUGAUUGGAGAUUGGGGAAAUACAAAUAAUUAAAACAGCAAAAGAUAUGAUAGAAUAUACAAUGACCAAGAGCAUAAAAGUAAUUGAACAAACAACAGACAAGUAGUAAACAAUAUAGGAUCUGGUUAGAUAGGGGGACAUACAAGAGCGUAAAAGUAAUUGAACAAACAACAGACAAGUAAGUAAACAAUAUAGGAUCUGGUUAGAUAGGGGGAUAUACAAGAGCGUAAAAGUAAUUGAACAAACAACAGACAAGUAAGUAAACAAUCUAGGAUCUGGUUAGAUAGGGGGACAUACAAGAGCGUAAAAGUAAUUGAACAAACAACAGACAAGUAAGUAAACAAUAUAGGAUCUGGUUAGAUAUGGGGACAUACAAGAGCGUAAAAGUAAUUGAACAAACAACAGACAAGUAAGUAAACAAUAUAGGAUCUGGUUAGAUAGAGGACAUACAAGAGCGUAAAAGUAAUUGAACAAACAACAGACAAGUAAGUAAACACUAUUUGAUCUAGUUAGAUAUGGGGACAUACAAGAGCGUAAAAGUAAUUGAACAAACAACAGACAAGUAAGUAAACACUAUUUGAUCUGGUUAGAUAUGGGGACAUACAAGAGUGUAAAAGUAAUUGAACAAACAACAGACAAGUAAGUAAACAAUAUAGGAUCUGGUUAGAUAGGGGGAUAUACAAGAG